rnacentral:rRNA from 1 species
GCCUCUGAUGGCUGGUCCGCCUUUUGGUGUGUACUGUCUAUUGGAGGCUUACCUCUUGGUGCACUUCAAUGCUCUUCACUGGGUGUUGGAGGGAACCAGGACUUUUACUUUGAAAAAAUUAGAGUGUUCAAAGCAGGCCUAUGCCUGAAUACAUUAGCAUGGAAUAAUAGAAUAGGAUGUGCGGUCCUAUUUUGUUGGUUUCUAGGAUCGCCGUA